GUAAUAGCUCACUGGUCGAGUCGGCCUGCGCGGAAGAUGUAACGGGGCUAAACCAUGCACCGAAGCUGCGGCAGCGACGCUGAUGCGUUGUUGGGUAGGGGAGCGUUCUGUAAGCCUGCGAAGGUGACCUGUGAGGGUUGCUGGAGGUAUCAGAAGUGCGAAUGCUGACAUAAGUAACGAUAAAGCGGGUGAAAAGCCCGCUCG
rnacentral:rRNA from 1 species